rnacentral:rRNA from 1 species
UAGGGAAUCUUCCACAAUGGACGCAAGUCUGAUGGAGCAACGCCGCGUGAGUGAAGAAGGUCUUCGGAUACGUAAAACUCUGUUGUUAGAGAAGAACACGNGUGAGAGUAACUGUUCAUUCGAUGACGGUAUCUAACCAGCAAGUCACGGCUAACUACGUGCCAG